GUUUGAUCAUGGCUCAGAUUGAACGCUGGCGGGAUGUUUACACAUGCAAGUCGAACGGCAGCACGGACUUCGGUCUGGUGGCGAGGGCGAACGGGUGAGUAAUGUAUCGGAACGUGCCUAGUAGCGGGGGAUAACUACGCGAAAGCGUAGCUAAUACCGCAUACGCCCUUCGGGGGAAAGCGGGGGACCUUCGGGCCUCGCACUAUUAGAGCGGCCGAUAUCGGAUUAGCUAUAAGGUUGGUGGGGUAACGGCUCACCGGCGGCGACGAUCCGUAGCUGGUUUGAGAGGACGACCAGCCACACUGGGACUGAGACACGGCCCAGACUCCUACGGGAGGCAGCAGUGGGGAAUUUUGGACAAUGGGGGAAACCCUGAUCCAGCCAUCCCGCGUGUGCGAUGAAGGCCUUCGGGUUGUAAAGACCUCGGCAGGAAAGAACGGCACGGGAUAAUACCCCGUGCAACUGACGGUACCUGCAGAAUAAGCACCGGCUAACUACGUGCCAGCAGCCGCGGUAAUACGUAGGGUGCAAGGCAAGUUAAUCGGAAUUACUGGGCGUAAAGCGUGCGCAGGCGGUUCGGAAAGAAAGAUGUGAAAUCCCAGAGCUUAACUUUGGAACUGCAUUUUUAACUACCGAGCUAGAGUGUGUCAGAGGGAGGUGGAAUUCCGCGUGUGUAGGUGUAGCAGUGAAAUGCAGAUAUGCGGAGGAACACCGAUGGCGAAGGCAGCCUCCUGGGAUAACACUGACGCUCAUGCACGAAAAGCGUGGGGAGCAAACAGGAUUAGAUACCCUGGUAGUCCACGCCCUAAACGAUGUCAACUAGCUGUUGGGGCCUUCGCCUUGGUAGCGCAGCUAACGCGUGUUGACCGCCUGGGGAGUACGGUCGCAAGAUUAAAACUCAAAAGGAAUUGACGGGGACCCGCACAAGCGGUGGAUGAUGGAUUAAUUCGAUGCAACGCGAAAAACCUUACCUACCCUUGACAUGUCUGGAAUCCCGAAGAGAUUUGGGAGUGCUCGCAAGAGAACCGGAACACAGGUGCUGCAUGGCUGUCGUCAGCUCGUGUCGUGAGAUGUUGAAAAUGAACCAAUGAUGCGCAACUUUACCGCUGAGCACAAAGUUUAAAAGGGCACUCGAAUGAGACUGCCGGUGACAAACCGGAGGAAGGUGGGGAUGACGUCAAGUCCCUCAUGGCCCUUAUGGGUAGGGCUUCGCACGUCAUACAAUGGUCGGGACAGAGGGUCGCCAACCCGCGAGGGGGAGCCAAUCCCAGAACCCGAUCGUAGUCCGGAUCGCAGUCUGCAACUCGACUGCGUGUCGGAAUCGCUAGUAAUCGCGGAUCAGCAUGUCGCGGUGAAUAUGUUCCCGGGUCUUGUACACACUGCCCGUCACACCAUGGGAGUGGGUUUUACCAGAAGUAGUUAGCCUAACCGUAUGAGUGGCGAUUACCACGGUGAUUCAUGACUGGGGUGAAGUCGUAACAAGGUAA
rnacentral:rRNA from 1 species